UCCAAAACUGACCCCUGAGGCACACCAUACUUCCCUGAAGAGGAGGCAGAGACUUAAUCAAGGUCAUCAAAACCAAUAUUCUGUUUCUUUUGUUUUCUUUUUGUUUUUGCAGCGUAAAUGUAAAGAACGUUUGUUGCUGAACUGAAACAAACAUGGGGAUUUAGGGGUUUAGGAGAUGUUGUUGAAAUCAUAACUUUGGUCUUUAUCCGGUCGUAAAGAGGAAAAAGAUAAAAACUCCUCACAGGAGCUUUCUGUUUACUUUCAUAUGAAGAGUUAAACAUCGAGCAGACGAUCAACGACGUGGAAAACAGAGCAGAAGUUCUUCAGGUGAGCAGAGUGUGAAGGGGACAGAAAUAAGAUUUAAAGACUCACAGCAGGUCGGAUCUUCAGGGAGUCCACAGGAAACUGGCUCCGCAGCAGCAGCGGUGGCAGCCAGCCUACAGGGCAGCAGAGGUGUGGCAUGUUGCCGUGGCGAGGGCCUGACCCUGUUACCAUGGCGUCUAUGACUGUACAAGCAGGGGUGGGAACUGCAGCGUGCAUGCCCCUACCUGCAGAGUGUGUACACCUGUGAGUGUGCAGGGCUGGUUGCACAACAUGACUUCUCAUUUCCAUUCAGACGAGCUCAGAGUUUAGUUUCUGGAUGUAAGAAAAGUUUUUAUUACAUUUAUUCUGUCUCAGUUUGACCCCACAAGUUUGUUUCUCGCCACACAAAGGUCGACCAUGACGGUCAUCACUUCCUGUUGGAGAGUAGGCCUGCAGGACAGACGGGUUGAAUGGCUUUAGAGGAUCUGUGGGUUCAUGAUGUGUCAGUGAGUCAGACGGGAACAUGUUGUUGUUUAGUCUCAGGUUUAACCACAGAUCUUAUCAAUCAUCAACAUCGUCUCCCAUUGGUUCCAGAGGAGGCGUUCUGAAGCCCAUCGAUGGCGUUCUCCACAUUGGGAAAAACUAACUUACUCCCAGUAACCGAGAGCCGGGUAAAGAUGAAUAUCUGGGUUAUCUUUGUGUCUUUUCUCUAUGAAUGAAUGAAUCGGAUGACGGCAGAAUGUCUGAAUUCUCUUAUUUGUGUUUUUAUUGUUGAUUAAAGAAGAGACAAACAUGA